AUGGUGAUGCAGGAAGACAUGGCGGAUGUAAGUCAUGAGUCAAUGCUGGAGUACUAUCAUAUUGCCAACAAGAUGUUUAAUAGUGAGGAUGAAGGUUAUAGAUUCUAUAACAAAUAUGGUCUUGAGAAAGGUUUUAGUGUUCAGAGAAGCUAUAUCAAGUGGGAUGUAUCCGACUGCCAUAUAAUUUUAAGGAAAUUGGUGUGUAGUCGUGAAGGGGUUCGUGAAGAGAAGCACAUGAAGAGGAAGAUGGAAGAUAGAAAGAGGAGGCCACGGAGUAUAACUCGUGUAGGGUGUAAAGCUAAAUUGGUGAUUGCAAGACAGGAGGAAACAUGUCAGUGGUUUGUGAAGGAUUUCAUCGAUGAACACAACCAUCCUCUAGCCCCACGGGAUCUGUCGUGUCUUUUGUGUUCACACAGUAAAAUUAGCGAUGAGCAGAAAGCGGACAUCGCAGACAUGUAA
rnacentral:rRNA from 1 species